AUACGGAGGGUCCGAGCGUUAAUCGGAAUUACUGGGCGUAAAGCGCGCGUAGGUGGUUCAGUCAGUCAGAUGUGAAAGCCCCGGGCUCAACCUGGGAACUGCACCUGAUACUGCUGAGCUAGAGUACGGUAGAGGGCAGUGGAAUUUCCGGUGUAGCGGUGAAAUGCGUAGAGAUCGGAAGGAACACCAGUGGCGAAGGCGGCUGCCUGGACUGAUCCUGACACUGGGGUGCGAAAGCGUGGGUAGCAAACAGGAUUAGAUACCCUGGUAGUCCACGCCGUAAACGAUGUCAACUAGCCGUUGGGGGACUUGAUCCUUUAGUGGCGAAGCUAACGCGAUAAGUUGACCGCCUGGGGAGUACGGCCGCAAGGUUAAAACUCAAAUGAAUUGACGGGG
rnacentral:rRNA from 1 species